GAACAGGCUCCAUGCUGCCCCUCACUGAGGGGAAAAAGAAAACCACUCACCACCAAGAUGGCGCCGGACGCCUUCCUCCAACCCUGCCCCCAGCCGACAUUUUGUCUCUGCCAUCGGCCGCACAAUGCGCCUUUGCGGCAGCUCCUUCUCGGCGACAUUUUCAUCGAAAACAAAGGGAAAGGCGGGCUGGUCGCUGCCCUACACUUCAGUUUCGUUUUCUUUCCUGAAUGGUUUUCUUUGGGCGGGGGUGAGGGUGAAACAAAAUUCGUGUCCAGUUCUCUAGCGAGGCCUCAAAGCCCAACCCGACUGAGUGAUCGAGGGGGGUGGGGGGUUGGGAGAAACCCUCGUGGCCUAAGUGCGGCCUCCUCGCGGCCUACCAACCGCCACUGCUCCUAACGGCCGUCCGCGAGCUGCAGCGCGAGCGGCCGUGGGCCGCCUGCCGCCGGUGAAGCGGCCUCACAUCCGGAGACUUGACUACACUGCCCUUACCUGAAAUAGAGAAACACACACUGGAUCAUCAAUGCCACACUCACAGGAAUCCGAUUCACUAGGGAGGAAGAAAAGGACAAUCAACUCCCAUUCCUAGACGUGAUGGUACAGAGAACACCUAACGGAUAAUUCACCACAAAGGUAUACAGGAAAGCCUCACACAGACCAAGUCCUAAACUACGAAAGCAACCACCCCAACACUCACAAAAGAAGUUGCAUCAAGACACUAUUCAAAAGAUCCACAGCACACUGCAGUAUACCAGAACUGCAAAAAGAGGAAGCAGAACACUUAUACAAUGUAUUCGCCAAAAACGGUUACCCCCACAAUUUCAUCAACAGAUGCCUAAGGGAAAGACAACGGAACGAGGACAUGCCACAACCCAAAGGACUAGCCACACUACUAUACAUCAAGAGCAUUUCUGAACAAACAGCCAGACUACUGCGACCACUAGGACUCAUAACAGCACACAAACCAAGAGCCUCUCUCAGACAACAACUCACCAGAACGAAGGACCUGAUAUCCAGCACGAGCAAAACCAAUGUAAUGUACAAAAUCCCAUGCAAGGACUGCACAAAACACUACAUAGGACAAACAGGAAGACAGUUAACGAUCCGCAUCCAUGAACACCAACUAGCAACGAAACGACACGACCAGCUAUCCUUAGUAGCCACACACACAGAUGAUAAGCAACAUGAAUUCGACUGGGACAAGACUACUAUUAUAGGACAAGCAAACAGAACAGCCAGGGAAUUCCUAGAGGCAUGGCACUCAUCCAUAGAUUCAAUCAAUAAGUACAUCGAUCUGGACCCAAUAUACCGAUGACUGCAACGGACAGCUGGAACUGACAACCGGAAGCGGCAGAUUCAAACCACUACAAUGCCGGAGGAAAGAUCACAGAAGCGCUUCACAGGAGACUCCCAAGCACUGAGGAUGUCACCUAGACAGGGGACGAAACAUCCGCAACACAAAUUCCCAGCUCGGCGAACAGAACCACAACAACGAGCACCCAAUCUACAAAUCUUCUCACAAACUUUGAAUUAUAAUUUCAAACUUGCAGUUUCUGAUUUACAUUUACCAUGUUGAAAUAAAUAAUUUUCAAUUUGA